UAAAAUAAUUAAGGGCACACAAAGGAUGCCUAGGUAGUAAGAGCCGAUGAAGGACGUGGUAAGCUGCGAUAAGCCUAGAUAAGUUGCAAUCGAACGUAAGAGUCUAGGAUUUCCGAAUGGAGCAAUCUAUUAAGAUGGAGUCUUAAUACGAAAGAGGGAACCGCGUGAACUGAAACAUCUAAGUAACGCGAGGAAAAGAAAGUAAAAACGAUACCCAAAGUAGCGGCGAGCGAAAUGGGUCAAGCCUAAACCUUAAAUAUGUCAAGGAUACAGCCGUUGUAUUUAAGGGGUUGAGGGACAGAGUGAUGAAGAACUGUAAGAUAUUCAAUAUAGUGUAUUGAUGAAUUAGAAUUGUCUGGAAAGGUGAACCGCAGAAGGUGAAAGUCCUGUAUAAGUAAAUCCUUACACAUAUAACUUUGCUCCCAAGUAACAUGGAACACGAGGAAUUCUGUGUGAAUCUGUGAGGACCAUAUCUCAUAAGGCUAAAUACUCUUACUAACCGAUAGCGCAUAGUACCGUGAGGGAAAGGUGAAAAGAACCCCUGGAGGGGAGUGAAAUAGAACCUGAAAUUGUGUGCUUACAAGCGGUCAGAGCCCAUUUGGGUGAUGGCGUGCCUUUUGGAGAAUGAUCCUGCGAGUUACGUUAAACGGCGAGGUUAAGUAUAACGGAGCCGAAGGGAAACCAAGUCUUAAUAGGGCGAUUUAGUCGUUUGGCGUAGACGCGAAACCUGGUGAUCUAAACCUGUCCAGGAUGAAGCUGUGGUAAGACACAGUGGAGGUCCUAACCCACCGCCGUUGAAAAGUUGGGGGAUGAGGUAGGUUUAGGGGUGAAAAGCCAAUCGAACCAGGAGAUAGCUCGUUCUCUCCGAAAUGCAUCUAGGUGCAGCCUUGAGUGUUCAAUUAUGGGGGUAGAGCACUGAAUGAUCUAGGGGGCAUAUUGCUUACUGAAAUCAAUCAAACUCCGAAUACCAUAAUUUAUAGCUCAGGAGUGAGACUAUGGGAGUUAACUUCCAUUGUCAAAAGGGAAACAACCCAGACCACCAGCUAAGGUCCCUAAUUAUAACUAAGUGGGAAAGGAGGUGGAGAUUCACAAACAACUAGGAGGUUGGCUUAGAAGCAGCCAUACCUUUAAAGAGUGCGUAAUAGCUCACUAGUCGAGAGUCUCUGCGCCGACAAUGUAACGGGGCUAAGUUAUAAACCGAAGCUGUGGAAUCCGUAAGGAUUGGUAGGAGAGCGUUCUGUAGGCCGUUGAAGGAGAAGGGUAACCGACUUUGGAGGUAUCAGAAGUGAGAAUGCAGGAAUAAGUAGCGAGAAAGGGGGCGAGAAUCCCCCUCGCCGGAAGACCAAGGUUUUCAGGGUAAAGCUUGUCUUCCCUGAGUAAGCCGGGACCUAAGCCCAGGCUAUAAUGCGUAGGCGAAUGGAAAACAGAUUAAUAUUUCUGUGCCAGUCAUGUAUUGUGAUGGAGGGACGCAGAAGGGUAUGCGCGCGGACGAACGGAAGUGUCCGUAGAAGUAUGUAGGGUGACUUAGUAGGUAAAUCCAUUAAGUUAUAUCUGAGGUAUGAUAUACAGUCGUAAGAUGAAUGUGCAAAUCCCACGCUGCCAAGAAAAGCUUCUAACGUUAAUAUAUGACUGCCCGUACUGUAAACCGACACAGGUGGUCAGGAUGAGAAAUCUAAGGCGGACAGGCUAACUCUCGUUAAGGAACUCUGCAAAAUAACCUCGUAACUUCGGGAGAAGAGGAGCCCUUGGGUGUUAGUAUCCACGCGAUACAAAGCGCUCGAGGGUCGCAGUGAAGAGGCUCAAGCAACUGUUUAACAAAAACACAGGUCUAUGCUAAGCUGUAAGGCGAUGUAUAUGGGCUGACACCUGCCCAGUGCUGGAAGGUUAAGAGGAGGAGUGAGAGCUCCGAAUUGAAGCCCCAGUGAACGGCGGCCGUAACUAUAACGGUCCUAAGGUAGCGAAAUUCCUUGUCGGGUAA
rnacentral:rRNA from 1 species